rnacentral:rRNA from 1 species
AUUGAACGCUGGCGGCAUGCCUUACACAUGCAAGUCGAACGUGAAAGGGGGCAACCCCGAGUAGAGUGGCGGACGGGUGAGCAACACAUCGGAACGUACCCAGUAGUGGGGGAACAACCUCGAGAAAUCGAGGCUAAUACCGCAUACGACCCGACGGGUGAAAGCGGGGACCGCAACGGCCUCGCGCUAUUGGAGCGGCCGAUGUCCGAUUAGCUUGUGGUGGGUAACG